rnacentral:rRNA from 1 species
UACGGAGGGUGCAAGCGUUAUCCGGAUUUACUGGGUUUAAAGGGUGCGUAGGUGGGUUGGGAAGUCAGUGGUGAAAUACUUUCGCUUAACGAAGGAACUGCCAUUGAUACUAUCAAUCUUGAAUGUAGUGGAGGUAGGCGGAAUGCGUCAUGUAGCGGUGAAAUGCUUAGAUAUGACACAGAACACCGAUUGCGAAGGCAGCUCUCAAAACUGUAACUGACGCUGAGGCACGAAAGCGUGGGUAUCAAACAGG